rnacentral:lncRNA from 1 species
AGGUAUACUCCUUGAGAACAUUGCCACACCUUCCUGUCUUUUUCUUUUCUGCCUUUGCCUUGGCAUUUAUCUUUUCCAGACUGCAACGGAUAACAUUGCCACCUGUGUCCACAAUGUUACCAAGGAAGACGACUGUACAGACAAAUAAACUAGGAAACCAAACUAGAUUUGUGGUUGAAAAACCACUGCAGAAGAGUGACUACAGGAAAAUUAGGAGCUAUGAUGACCUUUAAAAUCCUGCGGCUAGCUAUGACAGCACCGCAUUGUUAGUAGUAGUACAUGCACAAUAUUAGGAGCAAACUGCCUGCACUCAGCUAAAUAGUUUGACGAGCUCCAUCCUCCUUUUGUCCCCCAAAAUGAAGAGCAUGAACUGUGUAAACAUUGAUACAAAGUAUACUAGAACACAUCAUGCGACUGUAUGAGGCAGCAGGGAUAGGCGAAAACUGUACGAUACGUUGAGGACCAGCUACAUUUUGUCGCCUGGUUAAAUGGAAACUGACAAAUAACAUGAAGCUGAGAAGUUCAGUCCCCAUUUCAUCCUUCAGUCAUCACCACAAUGACACCAGUACUACAAUGAAAGUCAUUUUAGCACUUGUCGGUUGUAGAUAAUUCUUUUUUCCUGCUACAUUCGUAAUCAUUUUCUUAUGAUGUAACAUUUCAGUAUUGAGUGUACUUGUGAAGUUUGAUCUGUAAUUUAGUCUACAUAAAAUUUAGAACAGAUAUUCUGAAGUAUCUACACAACGUGUAUGUUCAAGCAUCUCAGUUUCCUUCAUUUUUUGUAGUUGUAAAUCUGUAAAAGGGCCUAAGCCUACUCGAUAUAAAUGUCUGGUUUUAGAGCAACAGGGAGCCGGGAUCGGCCUAAAUGGCCGGUUUUAACAACUGCAUCAUUGUCCGAUGGGUACAUGUGGACAUAGCAAGGCAGCAAACGGUAUUACUAAGGCGUAUUCUCUGACAGGGUGACCUCUCCGUAUGAGAAAUAACAUAUCAUUUAUACAGCAGAUGGCUUCUGUGCAUAUAAAAUGUUUCCAGCUUCAACUCUAAAAUAUAAGCAAUGUCAAGGUUCUCAAGGACCACUACUAAAAUUGUAAAACAUUAGAGAACUUAAGGCUGUGUAGCUACACUAGAGUUAAGGUACGGCCUUUCAUGAACCCUUCUUGGGCACUCUACUAACAAGCAGGUGCAAGGGAACAAAGAAAGCUUACUUGCCUAUCUCCAUUUUGCAGAUUAUAAACCAUGGGAUCAGUCAAUCUGUCAUGGAUGGAGCUGUUGAAGCAGCUUCAGAUUUCUUCAAACUGCCAAGUGAGACAAAGGAAGAGUUUGCAUCAGACGACCUCCGACGGCCUGUUAGAUAUGACACCAGCUCAAAGGACGGCAUUAGUAUGUCACGGGCAUACCUAAAGCAUUAUGCCCAUCCCCUGGGUGAAUGGAUGCAAUAUUGGCCAGAAAACCCCCCAAUCUACAGGCAAAAAACUUUCUAUAAAUCUUCUUACAAUCCUGAACUGCAGUACUAAUUGUGUAAUGUCUGACAUAACUCUUUUGUUCAUGUACUAAAAACAGGGAGUGUAUGGGAAAUUUUGCUAUUGAAGUAAGGAGGGUGGCCUUGCAACUAAUGGAAGCCAUACUAGAAGGCCUAGGAUUGGGUAAGGAUUACCAGCAUGAGAAAUUUGAGCAAGGACUGCAGCUAAUGUCAGUGAAUUGCUACCCGAAAGAAUCAGAAGGUGAUACAGCGAUAGGGCUGGCGCCGCAUUCCGAUUAUGGAUUCCUUACCAUCUUGUUCACAAGUUGUCGAGGCCUGGAGGUCGUUGACCGCAACAGCAACAGCUGGAAAGUGGUCCAGCCACUCCCACAUGCAUUGCAUGUCCAC